rnacentral:rRNA from 1 species
CCUACGGGAGGCAGCAGUGAGGAAUAUUGGUCAAUGGGAGCGACUCUGAACCAGCCAAGUAGCGUGAAGGAUGACGGCCCUAUGGGUUGUAAACUUCUUUUAUCGGGGAACAAAAUCAGUCACGAGUCCCGGAUUGCGGGUACCCCAUGAAAAAGCAUCGGCUAAUUCCGUGCCAGCAGCCGCGGUAAUACGGAGGAUGCGAGCGUUAUCCGGAUUUAUUGGGUUUAAGGGGGGCGUAGGCGGUCGGUUAAGUCAGCGGUAAAAUGCCGGGGCUCAACCCUGUCGCGCCGUGGAAACUGGCGGACUUGAGUUGGCGGGAGGUACGCGGAAUGCGCGGUGUAGCGGUGAAAUGCAUAGAUAUCGCGCAGAACUCCGAUUGCGAAGGCAGCGUACCGGCGCCAGACUGACGCUGAGGCACGAAGGCGUGGGGAUCGAACAGGAUUAGAUACCCGAGUAGUC